rnacentral:rRNA from 1 species
UGGGGAAUAUUGCACAAUGGGCGCAAGCCUGAUGCAGCCAUGCCGCGUGUAUGAAGAAGGCCUUCGGGUUGUAAAGUACUUUCAGCGGGGAGGAAGGUGUUGAGGCUAAUAACCUCAGCAAUUGACGUUACCCGCAGAAGAAGCACCGGCUAACUCCGUGCCAGCAGCCGCGGUAAUACGGAGGGUGCAAGCGUUAAUCGGAAUUACUGGGCGUAAAGCGCACGCAGGCGGUCUGUCAAGUCGGAUGUGAAAUCCUCGGGCUCAACCUGGGAACUGCAUUCGAAACUGGCAGGCUAGAGUCUUGUAGAGGGGGGUAGAAUUCCAGGUGUAGCGGUGAAAUGCGUAGAGAUCUGGAGGAAUACCGGUGGCGAAGGCGGCCCCCUGGACAAAGACUGACGCUCAGGUGCGAAAGCGUGGGGAGCAAACA